UACAUGCAAGUCGAGCGAGUGAAACUAACUGAUCCCUUCGGGGUGACGUUAGUGGAUCUAGCGGCGGACGGGUGAGUAACACGUGGGCAACCUGCCUGUAAGACUGGGAUAACUCGCGGAAACGCGAGCUAAUACCGGAUGAUACUUUGAACUGCAUGGUUCGAAGAUGAAAGGCGGCGCAAGCUGUCACUUACAGAUGGGCCCGCGGCGCAUUAGCUAGUUGGUGAGGUAACGGCUCACCAAGGCGACGAUGCGUAGCCGACCUGAGAGGGUGAUCGGCCACACUGGGACUGAGACACGGCCCAGACUCCUACGGGAGGCAGCAGUAGGGAAUCUUCCGCAAUGGACGAAAGUCUGACGGAGCAACGCCGCGUGAGUGAUGAAGGUUUUCGGAUCGUAAAACUCUGUUGUUAGGGAAGAACAAGUACAAGAGUAACUGCUUGUACCUUGACGGUACCUAACCAGAAAGCCCCGGCUAACUACGUGCCAGCAGCCGCGGUAAUACGUAGGGGGCCAGCGUUGUCCGGAAUUAUUGGGCGUAAAGCGCGCGCAGGCGGUCCUUUAAGUCUGAUGUGAAAGCCCACGGCUUAACCGUGGAGGGUCAUUGGAAACUGGAGGACUUGAGUACAGAAGAGGAGAGUGGAAUUCCACGUGUAGCGGUGAAAUGCGUAGAGAUGUGGAGGAACACCAGUGGCGAAGGCGACUCUCUGGUCUGUAACUGACGCUGAGGCGCGAAAGCGUGGGGAGCGAACAGGAUUAGAUACCCUGGUAGUCCACGCCGUAAACGAUGAGUGCUAGGUGUUAGGGGGUUUCCGCCCCUUAGUGCUGAAGUUAACGCAUUAAGCACUCCGCCUGGGGAGUACGGCCGCAAGGCUGAAACUCAAAAGAAUUGACGGGGGCCCGCACAAGCGGUGGAGCAUGUGGUUUAAUUCGAAGCAACGCGAAGAACCUUACCAGGUCUUGACAUCCUCUGACAACCCUAGAGAUAGGGCUUUCCCUUCGGGGACAGAGUGACAGGUGGUGCAUGG
rnacentral:rRNA from 1 species